rnacentral:tRNA from 1 species
GACGAGGUGGCCGAGAGGUUAAGGAGAUUGACUGCUAAUUUAUUGGGCUCGGCCCGCGUGGGUUCGAAUCCCAUCCUCGUCG